ACUGCGAGUGCUAAGAUCCGUAGUCGAAAGGGAAACAGCCCAGACCACCAGCUAAGGUCCCAAAAUAUCUGUUAAGUGGAAAAGGAUGUGGGGUUGCACAGACAACUAGGAUGUUGGCUUAGAAGCAGCCAUCAUUCAAAGAGUGCGUAAUAGCUCACUAGUCGAGUGACCCUGCGCCGAAAAUGUAACGGGGCUAAACAGAUUACCGAAGCUGUGGAUUCAGUUUAUAACUGAGUGGUAGGAGAGCGUUCUA
rnacentral:rRNA from 1 species